rnacentral:rRNA from 1 species
AGAGUUGAUCCUGGCUCAGAGACGCUGCGGCGUGCUUAACACAUGCAAGUCGAACGGUGAAGCGAGAGCUUGCUCUUGUGGAUCAGUGGCGAACGGGUGAGUACACGUGAGUAACCUGCCCCAGACUCUGGGAUAACCUCGGGAAACCGGGGCGUAAUACCGGAUACGAAAAGCUCAGGCAUCUGAAGCUUUUGGAAAGAUUUAUUGGUCUGGGAUGGACUCGCGGCCUAUCAGCUUGUUGGUGAGGUAAUGGCUCACCAAGGCGACGACGGGUAGCCGGCCUGAGAGGGCGACCGGCCACACUGGGACUGAGACACGGCCCAGACUCCUACGGGAGGCAGCAGUGGGGGAAUAUUGCACAAUGGGCGAAAGCCUGAUGCAGCGACGCCGCGUGGGGGAUGAAGGCCUUCGGGUUGUAAACCCCUUUUAGUAAGGAAGAAGCGAAAGUGACGGUACUUACAGAAAAAGCGCCGGCUAACUACGUG